GGAGGUUUGAGGCUGAAGGUUGGGCAGUAAUGGCAACUGACAAAAGAAGAAUGCUGAAACUGUAGCAAACUGCAGUGAACAGGUGAGGAACUUGAGCUUGAUAGCAGAGGAUGAGAACAUGGAAACAUACAAGGGUCAAAAGGGACACUUUUCAUCCAACUUCAGAACGCGCUGAUUCCCUUUUGGGGUCAUGAGGCAGCUGGAGCCUAUCCCAGCGGGCUACAUCCUGAACAGUCCCAGCCGCUCAUCCGUCCGUCCGUCCAGGCUCCCCCUCCCUUAUGGAUGCCAUUCCUCUGAACUGUCCCAGCCACCCUCAGAGGCCACGUCUGGGUUUUAACUCUGUAGGAUACACUUAUUGUGUCAAAUGGCAGCUUUAGAUGUGAGGAGGGGGUGUUGGGGCUCUGCAGCCCCAGAGCUGAACAGCCACCUACAACAACUGGACCUCUCCCUCAGCCUAUUUUUCUUUCCACUGGGGAGGUGGACGUGUUUGUGCGGGGCAGGGAGGAGGGCCUGUCACGGCCUCUUCAGUCUGGGACUGUGAUCCUGAGUGGUGUUUAUUUGUCAUUGCUCCACUGCUCUUUCCUCUAACGGAGCAGAAUCAGAAAUGUCAGCAGCAAAGUGGGCUUAGGUGUGAUCGCCUGCAAGUACAUGAGAUGAAAAUCUAUUUUUGAAAUGAGUUAAGUGCAGUUCACCCUAAGGAAUGGUUCAUGAGCAGGCUGUCUGGUCUGAAGUUGAGGUUAUGACCCUCCAGCAGACUUUUCCUUUUUUUUUUUACCAGUCUGCAGAUGUUCUCCAGGGCUUCUGCAGGGAUGACUUUUGGUAACAAGAAUGCUAAAUCGAUUACACUUAAUAAACAGCAAUCAACAGCAAAGCCUUUCUUUCUACUUCUUCUCCCUUUUUUGCUCCGGGUCAAGUUGUAGUGAUCUGUUUAUUUGUGUCAUGAACCAGAUCAGAUUCCUGGUGUGUGUGCUCUAUAUGAGCUCUCUGGUUGGUGUUUGGACACUGAUUUUUAUCUGAUGAAUGGCGAUAUGUGCUGGUGAAAGCAGCAAGGUAUGGGUUCACCUCCAGGGAGACUUUGAGCUAAAGAUAAAGACUCAGAAGUGAUGGACUCCUUGUGAUGCCCUUAGUGUGGGAGGAAAUUUAAUGGAAGCGGCUGCAGUGGUAGCAGAUGGAACGUUUUCCUGGAUCUGAGUCACGGUAGAAAUAUCAGACACACAAACACCAAACUUGUUCUCCAGAUUUACAGUAUGGUGGCGACAGAGGGAUCGAAGGGGGAAGUGUUUAUUUGCCUGGGACCUCAGGCACUAGGGGUUCAUAUUUUUCUUCACUUUUUUUCUGUUUUCUCCUUGUCUCUUUCAGGGUUUCAUUUACUUGUGUGGAUGUCUCCCAUGCCCUCUUCUCUCCUGUGUUUUUCUUUCUUUUUUUUCUAAGAUUCCCACAGACCCUCUGUGGACGGCAGAGCUUCAGCCCGACACAUUUCAUGUAAAGUUGUCAAAGAGAAGUUCUUGUGCUGCGGAGGCUUCACCAGCUCCAUGUGUGCAUGGGAGGAUGUGCACGGGUAAGUGAGCAGAGCCGGCUCCAUGUGGGUGGUUGAGCGGAGGGUUGCAGGGUUGAGUGAGAUGACAGUAAUAAAUUCAUUCACUUCAGCAUGUGAUGAUUGCAUUAUCAAUCAUGUUUAUUGACGAUGUGUUUGCCGAGCAUACCUCAGAGUCCCUGUUCUUCGUAACUUUGACAAAUGCAGCAGAGCGAGGACAAGCUGCAGCCAGCCUGGGUGAACCUGUGAUCUAUUUGGCCACAUAAAGACAACUGUUACCACAAUGUGACACCAACAACCUCACUUUGGGUUACAGUCUCUCAACUUAACUGAGUUUGUAGUUAAAGGUUCACUGCUUAGAUUGAGCUGCACUAUAAAAUGGAAAAAGUAAAGAAUAUGUCUUCAUUGAAGAAAUCAUUGAAUUAAAUGUCAUGUAAAUUGAUGUGGAGAAGACAACACUCAUGGUGUCUCUGUGAGUCGUGGUACAAACACUUGAAAUACAUGGUUUUCCCGCUGUAAUGGUCUUCUACAUACAACAAGAAACAAGCUCAAAGUCUUCGGUUAUCAGAAUG